rnacentral:rRNA from 1 species
AUUGAACGCUGGCGGCAGGCCCAACACAUGCAAGUCGAACGGUAACAGGAAGACGCUUGCUUCUUUGCUGACGAGUGGCGGACGGGUGAGUAAUGUCUGGGAAACUGCCUGAUGGAGGGGGAUAACUACUGGAAACGGUAGCUAAUACCGCAUAACGUCGCAAGACCAAAGAGGGGGACCUUCGGGCCUCUUGCCAUCGGAUGUGCCCAGAUGGGAUUAGCUAGUAGGUGGGGUAACGGCUCACCUAGGCGACGAUCCCUAGCUGGUCUGAGAGGAUGACCAGCCACACUGGAACUGAGACACGGUCCAGACUCCUACGGGAGGCAGCAGUGGGGAAUAUUGCACAAUGGGCGCAAGCCUGAUGCAGCCAUGCCGCGUGUAUGAAGAAGGCCUUCGGGUUGUAAAGUACUUUCAGCGGGGAGGAAGGGAGUAAAGUUAAUACCUUUACUCAUUGACGUUACCCGCAGAAGAAGCACCGGCUAACUCCGU